UACGUAGGGUGCGAGCGUUGUCCGGAAUUAUUGGGCGUAAAGGGCUCGUAGGCGGUUUGUCGCGUCGGGAGUGAAAUCCACUGGCUUAACUGGUGGCUUGCUUUCGAUACGGGCAGACUGGAGGCAUGCAGGGGAGAACGGAAUUCCUGGUGUAGCGGUGAAAUGCGCAGAUAUCAGGAGGAACACCGAUGGCGAAGGCAGGUCUCUGGGCCACUACUGACGCUGAGAAGCGAAAGCAUGGGGAGCAAACAGG
rnacentral:rRNA from 1 species